UGUGGGUGUUGGUAAACUUAUUACGAUAAGCUAAUUGAACCUUUGAAAACCUUUUUAAUGCAGCAUUGCAUAGAUAUUCAUAGCAAAAUCAAUCAAGUCCUACUUUAGAAGGCUGUUAUCAGGAACACGAUUUAAUUAAUCUAAGUUUGUGGAAUUUUAUAAACAAGGAAGUUAAGUGUACUACUCCAAUUGGCAUUCAAAACUUCC